rnacentral:rRNA from 1 species
UACGUAGGGGGCAAGCGUUGUCCGGAAUCAUUGGGCGUAAAGCGCGUGUAGGCGGCUCGAUAAGUCUGCUGUGAAAGUUCAGGGCUCAACCCUGAAAUGCCGGUGGAAACUGUCGAGCUAGAGUCCGGAAGAGGCGAGUGGAAUUCCUGGUGUAGCGGUGAAAUGCGCAGAUAUCAGGAGGAACACCAAUGGCGAAGGCAGCUCGCUGGGACGGUGCUGACGCUGAGACGCGAAAGCGUGGGGAGCAAACAGG